UUUAUUUUUUAUUUUUGGUAGAGACAGGGUCUCAUUAUGUUGCCCAGGCUGAACCUUAUCUCCUGGAAUUAAGUGAUCCUCCUGCCUCAGCCUCCUAAAAUGCUUGGGAUUACAGGCAUGAGCCACCAUGCCAGCCCGUACACAUAUUAUUGAUUUACAUACAGGUAUUGUGCUGUAUUGUCUUUCUGUUUCCUGUGAUUGUCAUCAAUCACUGUGUUUCUAAAGACAAUCUAUGUUGCUGCAUGUGCAUGUGGCUCAUUGCUUCUCACUGCUAUGGAAUAUUCC
rnacentral:lncRNA from 1 species